CCUACGGGGUGCAGCAGUGGGGAAUAUUGGGCAAUGGGCGCAAGCCUGACCCAGCAACGCCGCGUGAAGGAAGACGGCUUUCGGGUUGUAAACUUCUUUUGUCAGGGAAGAGUAGAAGACGGUACCUGACGAAUAAGCCACGGCUAACUAUGUGCCAGCAGCCGCGGUAAUACGUAGGUGGCAAGCGUUGUCCGGAUUUACUGGGUGUAAAGGGCGUGUAGCCGGGUUGACAAGUCAGAUGUGAAAUCCUGCAGCUUAACCGCAGAACUGCAUUUGAAACUGUUGAUCUUGAGUACUGGAGAGGCAGAUGGAAUUCCUAGUGUAGCGGUGAAAUGCGUAGAUAUUAGGAGGAACACCAGUGGCGAAGGCGGUCUGCUGGACAGCAACUGACGGUGAGGCGCGAAAGCGUGGGGAGCAAACAGGAUUAGAUACCCGUGUAGUC
rnacentral:rRNA from 1 species